CCUGCAAUUUUGAUAUGCUAGCUAGUUAUAAAACCAGCCAAUUCACCCAAGUUGUUGACUCAUCAAGUUUCCCGACCAUGCAUCAAACCCUAUGAAUCUUGGUAUCAAACCAAUCAUCCCCUAAGAUUGCGCACGGAUCUUUUGCUAUGCACACCGCACCGUGGGGUGCAUUGUGUGCACUGUCUAUUGCAUGAUGAACGGCUGGGCA
rnacentral:lncRNA from 1 species